rnacentral:rRNA from 1 species
UUUAUGGAGAGUUUGAUCCUGGCUCAGGAUGAACGCUGGCGGCGUGCCUAAUACAUGCAAGUCGAGCGAACGGACGAGAAGCUUGCUUCUCUGAUGUUAGCGGCGGACGGGUGAGUAACACGUGGAUAACCUACCUAUAAGACUGGGAUAACUUCGGGAAACCGGAGCUAAUACCGGAUAAUAUUUUGAACCGCAUGGUUCAAAAGUGAAAGACGGUCUUGCUGUCACUUAUAGAUGGAUCCGCGCUGCAUUAGCUAGUUGGUAAGGUAACGGCUUACCAAGGCAACGAUGCAUAGCCGACCUGAGAGGGUGAUCGGCCACACUGGAACUGAGACACGGUCCAGACUCCUACGGGAGGCAGCAGUAGGGAAUCUUCCGCAAUGGGCGAAAGCCUGACGGAGCAACGCCGCGUGAGUGAUGAAGGUCUUCGGAUCGUAAAACUCUGUUAUUAGGGAAGAACAUAUGUGUAAGUAACUGUGCACAUCUUGACGGUACCUAAUCAGAAAGCCACGGCUAACUACGUGCCAGCAGCCGCGGUAAUACGUAGGUGGCAAGCGUUAUCCGGAAUUAUUGGGCGUAAAGCGCGCGUAGGCGGUUUUUUAAGUCUGAUGUG